CUUCUAUAGGGAUAUUUAUGGAAAGUCAUGGUGUUGAUGUCAGAACCAGCGAGAGAGUCACACAGUCAUACAGGAACAACGUGAGGGCAGAGGGACCCUGAGGGAGUGCGAGAGUCCACGGCCCGACACACACUGAGAUAGAUUGCUCACACUCCAGUGACUGUUAUUCAUUGGUCAGAGGUUGGGAAGAAGCACUGUGAUGGUACCACAGUACAGUUAUGGUUUAAAUGAUGCGGGUGAGUUUGAUUCUUUUUGUCUCUGAUGUUGGAGAUAAAACUCUGGGAUCUGUGGGGACAGUAAACAGCUUCCGCCUGCUCUACUCCAAAUAUAGCAGCCAUCUACUGGGGGGAAGGGAAUACCUCGAGAAAGAUGGAACGAACAAACGAGAGAGAGAGAGAGAGAGAGGCCUGUGCCAAGGGAGCGGCUAAUGAAAAAUGCCCCGCUGUUUCCUCCCAAUGCCUGAGAGAGCUGCCCACACAAUGGUAUCGCUGAAGGGAGGCGGCAGGCCAGAGACCUCUCCUCCACAGCCCCGUUCCCCAUCCUCCAGCGUAGAGGAUUUGCAGUUAAAAGGUUGGAGAGACAUGGGAGAGAGAGCGCUCCCCAUGAGGCGAAAGGCCCUUCCUGUACCACAGCUACUGAUUCGCAGACGACCUUGAAAGCUUUGGCACCGGCAGCUCCUGUAAAUUAUUCACACAGGAUGCAGAAAAGGGCUUCUUUUGCACUCCCGCUCGAAAGGGCGGAAGCCCAAAGCAAGCACCGCUGCCUCUCACGUGGAAGACACGGAUUAAUGGCACGGAGACGGUGAGGAUAGUAGACGAAGAGAGAGACGGAGAGUGGUCCUGUGCACAUCAAAAAAAGUUGAAGGAGGGAAAGAAUAAGGGAGGUCCCUUCAUAAUUAAUUUCUCCCCCCCACGGAAACAUCGCGAUGGGGCCAAUUAUUGCCAGAAUGCGACUCCAUCGCCUGCUGCGCCGCGUCACUGUCCGCAGAGCUCUAUCCUUUAGGCAUCCUCAUGAUGCUGAGUACAGCGAGAUGGGCACACAGUUGUCUUCCAAGCUGCUCGGUAUUUCAAAACUAAUUCUCUGCGAUCUGUCCUUUCAUAAAAUUUCAUUUCUGUGGAGGUCAACCUCUGUUAGUGACAGCACUUUAAAGUAGUAAAAAAUGGCUUUCUACGAAAAAAAAUGACUAUCAAGUCAAAUGUUUUUUUAAACGUAUUUAUAAUAUGGCCAUUUCCAUUUUGCAUCCUGAUAUGAUGUUGUACUUAACUCUUUUCCUGUCAACGCUUUUUUGAAAAAGGUUGCAAGCCAGCGCCAGCAUAUUUGAUCA